GGGAGAUGAUGGAGUUGAUCAGGUGUAUGGUCCCAAGAGUCAUAAAGGAACACAAACCGGAACAGGGAGUUGCCGGUUCCAAAGGCGUAUUGCUAGCCCUUACUCUACAGGAUGUAACCUAAGAAGAGAUCAGAUAUGCUCGUUGUCUGGCUAUGCGGGAAGCAUCUUCACCCUGAAGGAGACUGCUCCUCCCCCAGAUGUCUCCUGCCCUUCAGAGCUACCAGCUGGCACAGUUCUUCAGGGUGUGUCUCCUUUAUGUUCUUCUGUGACUUAGCUGUGAGGAACCUGCACUCCCCCUACAGAGUCAGGGAUGGUCUGCACCUGUACAGUACCACCCUACCAUCAUUCUGGGGCAAUGUCCUAGCCUCUGCUCAAUGCACAAGGGGACGGGAUAGGUGGCCACAUAAUAGAUCAUAGGUUUUGCUUAUUAACAUGCCUGAGGGGCCCAUGACCACAAUACCUGGGCAUCACACAGUGGGUGCUAUGCCGCUGUCUGUGAGAUGGCAUGCCCUCAUUUAUGGGCUCAGUCAUGGUCAGCUGAAGGGUUUGAAGAGUAUUAGCCACCCACUGGCAUUGCUUCUCUCUCUUCUGCUCUGGCAGUUCUUUCACCCUGCUCCUUCUCGCUCUACAUUUAUCUUCACUUUGCCUGACAAAAAGCUGUUUUUAAUAAUGUAUCGCGCAAGGCUGUUUAUAUACUUUUACAACAUCAGUUAUUUUAGCCUGCUGCUUGUGCACUUUGUUAAUAAUGUUUGUUCUGGUUUAAUUUUUCAUGUGAAGUUAGUGCUGGUGGAAGGUGUUUGCCCCCAUCCACAGAGUAGGUGCAGCAGGACAAGCCCCACCAUCGCACACACAGACACGACCUUGCUAAACCUGGGCAACACCCUGAGCAGAUCCGCUGCUAGGGUGAGAUCAGCCUCCAUGGCCUAUUCACUUCUGGAUGGCCAGCUGUGUUGCAGGCACCUGCUUGCUGGGAAUUGGACCAACAAAAUCAUUUCCCCUAGUCAGCCAUCAACCCCUAACAGUUUUCUCUUGCUAUUCAGAUUGGGCAGAUCUGAAUCAGCAGCCUAGAACUGAAAACCUAUAUAACCCUUUAGUCCCCUGAAUGAACAUCUGAGACUUGAGCCCAAGCCAUCCUGCAAUUAGAGAUGAAAAACACCCCUAUAUCAACAAGCCACAUGGGUUUAUUUUCUUUUGAUGGGGAGGGUGGUUGGAUUAAAUCAGGUAAAAUGUAAUUCAGCAUCCCAAAUUUAUGUAGAUGAGUACAUGAAAUUAACACCAGUAGGUUGCCAUGUUGUUGUCACUGCUGUUCUGUAUUCGACACUGACUGGGUUCUCUGGCCUGUGGAAGAUAUUAUCUCUGCUCUAAGGCAUUCUGACAAGUGAGGAUGGUCUGGUGGUUAAGCCCUGGAACUUAAAGUGAGUUCAAUUCUCAGCCCUGCCAGAGACUCCCUGUAUGAUAAAUGAGACUGUCACUUAACCUACCUGCUCAGUGAAAAUAAUGAUUCUUCCUUUCUCUCCCACCAUUUGUCUGUCCUAUUGAUUAGACUGUAAUCUCUUUUGGGGUACAAAAUGUCCCUUACUGUGUAUCUAUACCAUGCCUAGCACCAGGAAACCAUGAUCUUGGUCAGGGUGCUAUUGUGAGCAAGGACGGGGUAUUUAGAGCUUAUUGAGAAUUUUUCAGUGAAAGUCUCUUCAUUGGAAAGGCUCCUCGGGUGCAGGAUAGGCUGGCUGAGAAUAAAACCAGCCCACCCCAGAGCAGGCAAGAGCAUGGUAGAUAGAGCACCUGGCAUGUGGGACACCAGGUUUUAGUCUCAGACUCAGGCAGGUUGGGCACUUGAACCUGGGUCUCCCAUGAACUGGGGGAGUGCCCUGAUCGCUGGGCUGUUGGUUACUGGGGGGAAGGAGCACUUUCAUUGUGACCAGAUAUAAACAUUAAGUAAUUCAACAACAUCCCUGUGAAAUAGUUAAGUAAGCAUCAUUAUCAGAGCUGGUGGGGAAAUGACUCUCUUUUUUCGUCAUGAGAAUUGUGACAAAAAGGAAAAUAUUUUUUCUCAAAAUACUUUAGGUUGUUAUUGAAAAACAAAUGUUCCAUUUUCCCAGCACUCCCUCCCCACUUUUUACAGUA